rnacentral:rRNA from 1 species
CAGCCGCCACGGGAAUACGUAGGGUGCGAGCGUUAAUCGGAAUUACUGGGCGUAAAGCGUGCGCAGGCGGUUAUAUAAGACAGAUGUGAAAUCCCCGGGCUCAACCUGGGACCUGCAUUUGUGACUGUAUAGCUAGAGUACGGUAGAGGGGGAUGGAAUUCCGCGUGUAGCAGUGAAAUGCGUAGAUAUGCGGAGGAACACCGAUGGCGAAGGCAAUCCCCUGGACCUGUACUGACGCUCAUGCACGAAAGCGUGGGGAGCAAACAGGAUUAGAUACCCGCGUAGUUCCUGUCUCUUAUAC